UGUAGGGAGCUAUUCUACCAGGAUACCAUGCUGACAUUGUAGUAUGGAACCCGAAACAGAAUUUCAACUUGACAAUAACCAUGCUAUAUAUCAUAAACAUCAGAAUAUUUCAGCGUAUUUAGGAAAGCAACUUUCUGGUAAGGUCCUGUCGACUUUUGUGAGAGGAAAUCUUGUGUUUGCUGAAGACAAGCAUGCAAAUGCUGCUUGUGGUGUUCCUAUCCUCGCUAAGUAACAUACAGGUGGAUCCAGAGCUGCCAUUAUUGAUCCGUAGUGUAUACAAUCGUAUGCAUGUGCCAAUUUGUAGGUUGCUCUCUUGUAUAUAAUUGAACGCAUUCAUGUCAUUGUUAUAUAGUAGCAAUCUAUUUAUAUUGGCACACAUUUUGCCUUGAUCCCUAA